GACGAACGCUGGCGGAGUGCUUAACACAUGCAAGUCGAACAGUGGCGAACGGGUGAGUAAUGCUUGGGCAUCUAGCUGAUGGAGGGGGAUAACUACGGGAAACUGUAGCUAAUACCGCGUACCAUAGGCUGAGCCCAAGUGGGAUUCGGUAGUUGGUGAGGUAAAGGCUCACCAACGCGACGAUCUCUAGCUGGUCUGAGAGGAUGACCAGCCACACUGGGAAUGAGACACGCCCCAGACGCCUUAGGGAGGCAGCAGGUGGGAAUAUUGCGCAAUGGGGGCAACCUGACGCAGCCAUGCCGCGUGAAUGAAGAAGGCCUUCGGGUUGUAAAGUUCUUUCGGUAGCUAGGCGUUAACUACAGAAGAAGCACCGGCUAACGCCGUGCCAGCAGCCGCGGUAAUAC
rnacentral:rRNA from 1 species